CAAUCCAUGUUUUAAAAAUACCAAAGUGGCGCUUAUGCGCAUAAUUUCAAGCCACGCAGAGAAUGAACUGGAUAUUUAUGAGCGUAUUCAAAAAGGAAUGCAACAGAGUCUGGCUUGAACCUUCGCCAUUUAUCGAGGCAUUUAUUGAACCGUUAAUGAUGGUUUAUGGGGUGCGUUUCACGGUAAAGAAGAAAUUUCUGUUUCAUUUGCCUCUGCCGAUUGUUCAGUUAACAUACAGAUAUGUAUUGCUACUUACGUGACUGAGCAUAUAAGAACCAGCUUUCAAGAGGGAAAGAUAGAUAUUAGAUUUAAAUAAAGUCCUUAGCAACUUAGACAAACGAUCAUCUUAAUAAUAGGACUGACAUAUACAUACUUAUGUAUGUAUAUAUAUACAAGACCGCGAAGAA
rnacentral:misc_RNA from 1 species